rnacentral:lncRNA from 1 species
CCAGGCUCAAAGGGUAAGGAAAUAGACCCAGCCACUGAUGAGAGAGACCACAUUCCAACCAAGGAUGCCCACAGAAUGGGGUGGAUAAUAUUAGCAAACAUCUACGAUUAUAUCUCCAAUAAUUCUGGGAAUGAGGAAAACGAAGUUCAACAUGUUCUUAUAAAUCCCUCUGUAGGUUGCAGAUGUGUUCGAGUGCAUUGUGUGUGGUGUCCUGACAAAGCCCUUUUGGUUUUGUGUGUCACAAGGGCUUGGGGCGCUGAGAAUCAGCCUUGGGGACCACCGCUCUCCCGCUUCGAAUUCCCAGCCGGAAUAAAGGAAGGCAUCUGUUUUCAUAAUUUAGGGGAUAAAGUGCCAUCGCUAGGGCAGACAUUUUUGUGGGGAAGGUUGUCUUGUUUUAUAGGAGGGUUGACAGGGGAAAUUAAGCCCCAUUUAGUCCCUCGACCUUUGGUUUCCAAACUGGAAAGAGCACAGUGUGUGUUCCAAUAGCCUCCCUGAAGUCAUUAUUGCUUCAGAGCCAGCUGAAUUGCUUGAUAAUAGCGAUUCUUUGCACUUGUAGAAUGUGUUUCCUCUGAGGAGGGCCAAGUAAUUUACAAUCACUUAUUAAUUAAUCCUCAGUCCCCUGCAUGAGAUGCGGCUGCGAUGCGGCUGCGUCAUUGUGUAUCUUUGACAGAUGUGUGAAGUGGCCAAAGGGAGACAAAGCGACAUUAAGCCUCUGCCCAAGGUCACUUGUCUAACUCACUGGACACCGUCCCAGCUCCACCAGCCUCCCCAUCCGCCCUGCAAGCCUUUCCCACAGAAGCGCUGGAAUUUCUCGGGGCUGGUUCCAGCCAUUGCAGAAAGCCUGACUUUUUCAGAUCAAACAGUCGGUAAGAAGGUGGCAACCUGGAAAUGUGGAUUGCAUUCAUCCUGGGCUUCUCCUACUGGAUGGCAAGGUCUGAACAAUUCGGAAACUCAGUCCUGGGAAACCGGCCAGAGAAGAAACGGAUGGACCUGCUCUCUGGAGGCUUCCGGUCUCCAGAGGCUUCCGGUCGCUGGAGGCUUCCGGUCUCCUGAGGUUUCCUGUCUCCGAAGGCUUCCGGUCUCACGCUGUAGGAAUGCGACAGUCAACCACAGCGAACAUCGCUGCGGUCUGAGAUUAUCAGUAAAUGGUUUCUGAGCAAGGCAGGAACUUAACUGAGCCUUUCCAAAUACUGUUGCUUCCACCUGGAACUCACCCUUCAUCUCAUCUUCUAGAAAAACACCUACUUUUCCUUAAAGAAACUGUAAGUCCAAAGUCAGGGCAUCUUUCAGCUCGCCUCAGCCCAGCUCUGCCUUUCCUCCUCCCUCAAGUCCUUCAGUUGCUGCCAGUUCUGCAAAUUACACCUGGAGCGCUUUGACAGAGAGUUGGCUGGACCAUAGGACCUCGGGGCCUGAGGCAAGACAAGAUUGUCCCAAGUGGAAAUACAGACCUCACGCUCCCUCAAGAUAGCUUAGGGUGUGGAUAAGUAUACACCUGCUAUGUAUAACAGGUG